GAUCCGACCCGUGAGGGCAACUGGUACAGUAGUCGCAUUCUGCUCCGGUUGUGAUUGACUCUCUCUACUCUCUGGAAUGGCGAAUCAGCAACCGCCAUCUCUACGGCCAUGGAUUCUCGACGCAGUGCCGUUCAUCGUCGUUCUCCUAAUAGCAGCUCAUGUCCUCGCGUUGGUAUAUUGGAUAUACAGAUUAGCUACUGAGAAAGAGAAACAGCCGCAGAGGAGAAAAGCACACUGAGGAACAGGUUGAUUUGCAACAAAAAAAACCUUGUUGAUUUCUUUUCUUGUGGGGAGAAUGCUAAUUAAGUUUGAUUAAGCGCUAGUCCUUGCCAUCUAUUGCAGUUACUGGUUUGUGUACUAAUAUAUUAUGGAGUUCUGGGAAUUGACAAUUUACUCGAUUUAAGAGAAUUAACAGACACCUUUGAGUGAUGCUAAUUUUGUGGGUUUUUUCUUCUGCUCUUGUAAUAUUUCGAUUCAUAAUUUCCUUUUUCAAGUAACAGGCACUGCAGUUCUCUUAAUAUAUAUCCGAUAAAUCUGUGCAAUCU